rnacentral:rRNA from 1 species
GAUGAACGCUGGCGGCGUGCCUAAUACAUGCAAGUCGAGCGAACGGACGAGAAGCUUGCUUCUCUGAUGUUAGCGGCGGACGGGUGAGUAACACGUGGAUAACCUACCUAUAAGACUGGGAUAACUUCGGGAAACCGGAGCUAAUACCGGAUAAUAUUUUGAACCGCAUGGUUCAAAAGUGAAAGACGGUCUUGCUGUCACUUAUAGAUGGAUCCGCGCUGCAUUAGCUAGUUGGUAAGGUAACGGCUUACCAAGGCAACGAGGCAUAGCCGACCUGAGAGGGUGAUCGGCCACACUGGAACUGGGACACGGUCCAGACUCCUACGGGAGGCAGCAGUAGGGAAUCUUCCGCAAUGGGCGAAAGCCUGACGGAGCAACGCCGCGUGAGUGAUGAAGGUCUUCGGAUCGUAAAACUCUGUUAUUAGGGAAGAACAUAUGUGUAAGUAACUGUGCACAUCUUGACGGUACCUAAUCAGAAAGCCACGGCUAACUACGUG